GUUCCAUUGGACUACAAUUUAAUUACCUGAUCCCUUCAAUGGAUUCACUAGACUCUAGUGUCAUUAUAGCUGGACAGAAGCUCUUUAUCCUACAA
rnacentral:lncRNA from 1 species